rnacentral:rRNA from 1 species
UGCGUAGGCGGGUUCGUAAGUCGAGGUUGAAAUAUCCGGGCUCAACUCGGGGCACGGCCUCGAUACUGCGGAUCUCGAGUCGAGAAGAGGGUAGUGGAAUUCCCGGUGUAGCGGUGAAAUGCGUAGAUAUCGGGAAGAACACCAGUGGCGAAGGCGGCUACCUGGUCUUGUACUAACGCUGAUGCACGAAAGCUGGGGGAGCGAACGGGAUUAGAUACCCCGGUAGUCCCAGCCGUAAACGAUGGAUGCUAGGUGUUGUGGGUAUCGACCCCCGCAGUGCCGCAGUUAACACAAUAAGCAUCCCGCCUGGGGAGUACGGCCGCAAGGCUAAA